AGCUCCAAUAGCGUAUAUUAAAGUUGUUGCAGUUAAAAAGCUCGUAGUUGGAUUUCUGGUACGGCGUACCUGGUCCGCCCCUUUUACGGUGUGUGUGUACCGGAGUGCGCCUGCCAUCCUCCCGGGGAGCGUUGCGCCUACCCUUCACUGGGCCGGGCCCGCGACCCGGGUCGUUUACUUUGAAAAAAUUAGAGUGUUCAAAGCAGGCUUACGGCUGUGAAUACAUUAGCAUGGAAUAAUAAGAUAGGACUCUGGUUCUAUUUUGUUGGUUUCUAGGACGAGAGUAAUGAUUGAUAGGGACAGUUGGGGGUGCUCGUAUUGAACGGCCAGAGGUGAAAUUCUUGGAUUCGUUCAAGACGAACUACUGCGAAAGCAUUCACCAAGGAUGUCUUCUUUAAUC
rnacentral:rRNA from 1 species